CAUAUGAAAGGAAUAGUUUCAUGCAAAUCUGUUUUCCCUGAACAGUUGAUUAUGGUUGCUUACCUGCAUUUUGACACUAUUAGGAACCUCCUUUUCUCCUGCCUUGUGACCUUUUGGAUGUUGUAUCUUCAUGACCCAUCUCAGAGGCUGCAGCACUCCUGCAGGAUCACUUCAUCAGUAUAGUUCAGUUACAGCUGGGAGCUGCUAGACUGUCCCACGUGUCAGCACAGCGGUGGCGGUGAAUACCAGAGAAUCCCUGCAGGAAGAUGAACUUCCAGGCAGCUCAUGCUUCAGUUUUCAAGAAUUCUUUGUUUGAAUGCUGCAGUUUCAUCAAUCUUCUGAUUAUCCGGGGACAGGUUGCAGUGGCAACACUUUCCAGGUCCUCAUGGUGGAUCUCAAGGCGUUCUCAGUUCUGGGUCUACCCCAGGGUCUCCUCCCAGUUGGACAUGCCUGGAAAACCUCCAUAUGAAGGCACCCAGGAGGAAUCCUCAACUGGUUCCUUUAAGAAGGAGCAGCGGCUCAACGCCAAGCUCACUCCGGAUGUCCAAACUCCUCAACCUCUCUAAGGCUGAGCCCAGCCACUCUGAAAACUCAUUUCAGCCACUUGUAGCCGCAAUCUCAUUCUUUUGGUCAUUACCCACAGCUUAGGUGAAGGUUGGGACAUAUAUGGACGGGUAAAUGAGCCAUAGGUGUGAAAAUGCGUGAUCACUAGCAGAGCUGAGUGUGACCAGUUUCUGGCAAGCGCGGAAUAUUCU